rnacentral:rRNA from 1 species
CGAGAGCCUGACGGAGCAACGCCGCGUGAGGGAGGAAGGCCUGUGGGUUGUAAACCUCUUUUCUCAGGGAAGAAGUUCUGACGGUACCUGAGGAAUCAGCAUCGGCUAACUCCGUGCCAGCAGCCGCGGUAAGACGGAGGAUGCAAGCGUUAUCCGGAAUUAUUGGGCGUAAAGCGUCCGUAGGCGGCCUAUAAAGUCUGCUGUCAAAGCUCACAGCUCAACUGUGAAUCGGCAGUGGAAACUCAUAGGCUAGAGAGUGGUAGGGGUAGAGGGAAUUCCUAGUGUAGCGGUGAAAUGCGUAGAUAUUAGGAAGAACACCAGUGGCGAAGGCGCUCUACUGGGCCAUUACUGACGCUGAUGGACGAAAGCUAGGGGAGCG